rnacentral:rRNA from 1 species
GACGAAGGACCCAAGCGUUAUUCGGAUUCCCUGGGCGUAAAGGGUGCGCAGGCGGUCGGGUGUGUCAGAUGUGAAAUCCCGAGGCUCAACCUCGGAACUGCGUCUGAAACUACUCGACUAGAGUACUGGAGAGGGUAACGGAAUUCACGGUGUAGCAGUGAAAUGCGUAGAUAUCGUGAGGAACACCAGAGGCGAAGGCGGUUACCUGGACAGUUACUGACGCUCAGGCACGAAAGCUAGGGGAGCAAACAGG